rnacentral:rRNA from 1 species
UGCAACCUACCUUUUAUUGGGGGAUAGCCCGUCGAAAGACGGAUUAAUACCGCAUAAGAUCACAUGAGGGCAUCUGAAGGUGAUUAAAGCUACGGCGAUAGAAGAUGGGCAUGCGUGACAUUAGCUAGUUGGUUGAGGUAACGGCUCACCAAGGCUACGAUGUCUAGGGGUUCUGAGAGGAUGAUCC